UGGGGUAUGGUGUAACGGUAGCACGCCGGACUCUGACUCCGUCAGUCUUGGUUCAAAUCCAGGUACCCCAGCCA
rnacentral:tRNA from 1 species